CCAAAAAUAGAAAUGCAAGGAAAUAUUGAUACUUCCACAUUAUUUUUUUAACUUUUAUUUUAGUUCAGGGCACAUGUGCGGGUUUGUUAUAUAGGUACAUUUUGUGUUAUGGGAGUUUGAUGUAGAGAUUUCAUCAACCAGGUAAUAAACAACGUAACUGAUAGGAAGUUCUCGCUCAUAAGUGGGAGGUGAACAAUGAGACCACAUGGACACAGGGAGGGGAACAUCACACACUGGGGCCUUUCAGGCUAUAGGUGGCCAGGGGAGGGAUAACAUUAGGAGAAAUACCUAAUGUAGAUGGUAUGCUUGUUGAUGGGUGCAGCAAACCACCACGGCACGUGUAUAGCUAUGUAAUAAAUCUGCACGUUCUGCACAUGUAUCCCAGAACUUAAAGUACAACUGAAAAAAAUAAAAAAAGAGGAAUAACAAAGAAAGGCAACACAUCAUCUGACUUUGAUUAUUUUGCUAUGUAAGAAUUAUUAUUGGGAUAUUGGCAAAAUUUUAAUAGGGUCUGUAGACUAGAUGGUAGUAAUGUACCGAUGGUAACUUCAUGGUUUGGGUGGUUUUAUUCGUUUCUUAUGUUGGAGAAAGGUCUCUAUUUGUAGCAAAGCCUCUAAGGUAUUAUUAACAAGUGAUGGUUCAAAUCUCAAAUGGUUCAGAGAAGAAAAGUUUUGUGUUGUUAUUGCAACUUUUGAACAACUUUGAGAAUGUUUCCAAACAAGCCUUAAAACUACAUAUUUGAAAAAAGAGCUCAUUUGCUAUAAAAUUAAAAUUACACUUUCCAUAUUACAGAGAUGCAGUUUAUAUUUUCUCCAAUAGAAAUUGUAAAAUCGAAGACUACCAGUUGAUCUGGCUUUGAAAUUUCAGUAAGAUGCAAAAAAAUGUACUGCUAAAGAUAAUAAAACUAUCAAUUAAAUUUAGUAAAGUUGCUAGAUGCAAAUCAAUGUAAUAACUACUAUUUUGUUUUUAUGUCAACAAAUAAAUAAAAUAAAAUUACAAAGUUACAACUACUUACGACAAUGUCACAAAACAUUAUAUACCCAAAAGAUGUGCCAAGUCCCUGUUUUAGGUCCUUAAGACAUAACAGAAAACAACAGAGAAAACACCAACAAUUACUUUUAUGUAGUUGACAUCCAGAGUCAGUUUUGCUAGACGGUCAAAUUAAGCAAAUCAAGACACAGGACAAGAGUUACAUUUGAAUAUCAGAUAAAUAACAAAGAAUUUAUUAGUAUAAGUUUGCUAAAAAAUACUGCAUGGAACAGAAUAAUAUUUCAUUGUUUAUCUGAAAUUCAAAUUUAAUUGGGUACUACUUAUUUUGUGGUAACAAUAUUCAGGUGGUAGACCAAACAAUUCAAAAGUGUAUCAAUAGUUACUUUUGGCUAAGCAUAAAGAGCAUUAGAAAUUUAAAUAUCUUCCUGCUGACAAUAUAAAUUAUUACAGUCUGCGAGAAGUGUGGAAAUUUUGUAAAAUUCAUACAUGAAAACUCUUUUUCACCAUAAUUCCACUUCUCAUUUAUUUUCUGGAUAGACUUGAGCAUAUAUCUGAAGGAAAAUAUGAACCCAAGAAAUAGCAUUGCUUUUAAUUUUCCAACAAGAGAAGAAAUAGAAGGCUGUAAUUUAUUAAAACUGAAAAAAGCACAGCUACAUGUGGCUACAUGUUUCAACAUGGAAGAAGUCCACUGAGAUUUCUGAAAGAAAGAGCAUAGCUUACAAAAUCGUACUUUUUACUAAUAAAUGCAGACAUUAAAGACAUAAAGAGCCCCGUGUCGUGCUGCCCCUCCUGACUAGGCCUCCGGGCCCGCCUUGGCCUCUGUCCCUUAAGUGGACGCAAUUGCGGCGGCUCCAGUCCUCAGGGGACUCCAGUCCUCAGGGGGCUCCAGUCCUCAGGGGGGUGCUCCAGUCCUCAGGGGGGCGUUCCAGUCCUCAGGUGGCUCCAGUCCUCAGGGUGCUCCAGUCCUCAGGGGGCUCGAGUCCUCAGGCGGCUCCAGUACUCAGGGGGCUCCAGUCCUCAGGGGGCUCCAGUCCUCAGGGCGGCUCCAGUCCUCAGGGGGCUCCAGUCCUCAGUGUGCUCCAGUCUUCAGGCAGCUCCAGUCCUCAGGGGGCUCCAGUCCUCGGGGGGCUCCAAUCCUCGGGGGGCUCCAGUCCUCAGGGCUGCUCCAGUCCUCAGGGGGCUCCAGUCUUCAGGCGGCUCCAGUCCUCAGGGUGCUCCAGUCCUCAGGGGGCUCCAGUCCUCAGGGGGCUCCAUUCCUCAGGGGGCUCCAGUCUUCAGGCGGCUCCAGUCCUCAGGGUGCUCCAGUCCUCAGGGGGCUCCAGUCUUCAGGCGGCUCCAGUCCUCAGGCGGCUCCAGUCCUCAGGGGGCUCCAGUCCUCAGGGGGCUCCAUUCCUCAGGGGGCUCCAGUCUUCAGGUGGCUCCAGUCCUCAGGGUGCUCCAGUCCUCAGGGGGCUCCAGUCCUCAGGGCGGCUCCAUUCCUCAGGGGGUUCCAGUCUUCAGGCGGCUCCAGUCCUCAGGGUGCUCCAGUCCUCAGGGGGCUCCAGUCCUCAGGGCGGCUCCAGUCCUCAGGGGGCUCCAGUCCUCAGGGGGCUCCAGUCCUCAGGGUGGCUCCAGUCCUCAGGGGGCUCCAGUCCUCAGGCGGCUCCAGUCCUCAGGGGGCUCCAGUCUUCAGGCGGCUCCAGUCCUCAGGGGGCUCCAUUCCUCAGGGGGCUCCAGUCCUCAGGGGGCUUCAGUCCUCAGGCGGCUCCAGUCCUCAGGCGGCUCCAGUCCUCAGGGGGGCUCCAGUCUUCAAGGGUAUCCAGUCCUCAGGGGGGCUCCAGUCUUCAGGCGGCUCCAGUCCUCAGGGGGCUCCAGUCCUCAGGGUGCUCCAGUCCUCAGGGGUAUCCAGUCCUCAGGGGGGCUCCAGUCCUCAUGGGGCUUCAGUUCUUAGGCGGCUCCAGUCCUCAGGGGGCUCCAGUCCUCAGGGGGCUCCAGUCCUCAGGCGGCUCCAGUCCUCAGGGGGCUCCAGUCCUCAGGAGGGCGCUCCAGCACCCGUGACUCGCCAGGCUCCGUCUGAGACCCGUGCUAGGCUCGCUCUGUCCCUGCGUUCCCUCGCCUCUCUCUCCAGUUGUUUUUCCCAUUCUCACACCAGCACUGCACCAAGGUGAGAGGAGCCCCGCUGGAAAGGAAACAUUCGGACUCCGGUUUCAGCACCUCCUCCAGAAGCACAGGAUGUGCGACCUUCAGCCUUUGUGCCCACCUCCGAGCCACCAGCUCCGCAGAAGUAGCUGGGAAUGGAACUGUACUCCUCCAGAGACGUCUCCUCCAGGCUCACCACGGAGCAAAUUCUGUGCAGCAUAAGAGAAUAAACGCAUGCGGAAGAGAAGGCGUUUCAGAAGCCAGUUUCCAAACGACAGAUCCAUUGUACUUCUCUGAUGCACGUCACAAGCAUUUCUCCUCAAAGGACUUCAUCUAUAACAUCCUCACCAUUAAAUAAAGACAGGGCUUGUGUACUCUAGGGCAGGAUGAGUAGGUCUGUGAACGUUUUCUGAAAAAAUGUGAUGAGAAAAUUCGAGAAGAGCAUGAAGAAAUCGAACACAAAACUGGCAGAACAGGAUGAUGCAUUUGUGAAGUUCACGCUUGGUGAAAUAAUGUGACGCUCUGGCGCUGGCUAAUACGUUUCAUGACUCACACAUUCUGCAUUUGCCGCUGCCUUAUUCCUUGCUGACUUAUUGCAAAGGGUCCCAAUUUUGACAUGACACAAUGCCAGGAUCCCUCGGUAAAUACAGGUUUCCGCACGCUCUUGUCAAUGGCACCCACUCUUAGGCCCUAGCAACUGGUUUUGGAAAUUUCCCCGAUGUCAGCACCACUUGAAUGUAGACUUUGCUACCUGUAUUCAUACAGUUUGGCUCCUUAUUUUAAUAUGUUUGAAAAGAAUUAAAGGGGGUAUUCUAGAACAUGUCCUUCACUAGUUGUGUAAUAAAACUAGAAUGACAAUGCAGAGGAAGUUAGCGUGAUUUUAAUCGUAUGCUACAACCAAGCUGUAACCAGUUAUUAAUAAUUUAGAAUGUAAUCCCAGGACAAACCGAAGCAAAU
rnacentral:lncRNA from 1 species